GUCCACGCCGUAAACGAUGGAUACUAGCUGUUCGGAGCAAUCUGAGUGGCUAAGCGAAAGUGAUAAGUAUCCCACCUGGGGAGUACGUUCGCAAGAAUGAAACUCAAAGGAAUUGACGGGGCCCGCACAAGCGGUGGAGCAUGUGGUUUAAUUCGAUGAUACGCGAGGAACCUUACCAAGGCUUAAAUGGGGAUUGACCGAUUUGGAAACAGAUCUUUCGCAAGACAAUCUUCAAGGUGCUGCAUGGUUGUCGU
rnacentral:rRNA from 1 species